rnacentral:tRNA from 2 species
GAAGGCUACCCCCUUCUUAGAGUU